rnacentral:rRNA from 1 species
CAAAGAUUUGGUCCUGGUCUUAUUGUCAGUUAUCUCUUGAUUUACACAUGCAAGUCUCAGCACACCAGUGAGGACGCCCUUACCCCUUCUAUAGGACAAGGAGCUGAUAUCAGGCACUUCAACCGCCCAUAACAUCUAGUCCGACCACACCCCCAAGGGUAUUCAGCAGUGAUAAACAUUGUUUAUAAGCGACAGCUUGACUCAGUCAAAGAGAAGAGGGCCGGCCAACCCGGUGCCAGCCGCCGCGGCUAAACCCUAGGGCCCAAAUUGAUAAUACUCGGCGUCAAUCGUGAUUAAAGCUUUCUAAAAUUAGAGUAGAACCUAUUAUUAAGCUGUGAAAAGCAAUUUUUUUAGGGAAAAUCAGAAACGAAAGUUACUCUAAUACACACUUGAACACAC